UGCCACAGCCAUUUCACCCUGCAACCCAAGAUCGGUUACUCAAUGAAGCUAAGCAGACAUGAGCCUAGUCAGUAUGUGGAUCGAGGACCACAUGGGAAAUCUAGAUUGCUAUUGGAA
rnacentral:rRNA from 1 species